rnacentral:lncRNA from 1 species
CCCAGGCCCAGCCAUAGAGGAAGCAAAGAGGCGAAAACAUAUUUCUGCCUGAAAUGACCUCCUAUUUUAAGAAAAAACAACAGCCCCAAAAGAAGGAAAGAAAAAACAAAGCUCCACCCAGAAGGAAAUUGCCUCUGCUAGUGUGUAACCCAGGGAAGAUCAGCAACCACGAAAUGUUGGCUAUAAUUUUCUGCAAUUUGUCACAUGCCCUCUGCAAGCCCUGGGAUUCUGUUGUUGGAGCCACAAGGACCCUUAAGAAAAAUACUUGGAGCCAGCUGGUCCCUGCCAUCAUUGAAACCCAAAGGGAGGAGCUCCACGGGUGAGGAGCUACUCCCUAGAUGUCUUGAAGUUGCUUGUAUUUCAAAAGAAUUCAGCUUACCACCA